rnacentral:rRNA from 1 species
UACGUAGGUGGCAAGCGUUGUCCGGAAUUAUUGGGCGUAAAGCGCGCGCAGGUGGUCCUUUAAGUCUGAUGUGAAAGCCCAUGGCUCAACCGUGGAGGGUCAUUGGAAACUGGGGGACUUGAGUGCAGGAGAGAAGAGUGGAAUUCCACGUGUAGCGGUGAAAUGCGUAGAUAUCUGGAGGAACACCGGUGGCGAAGGCGGCAUCCUGGACCGGCAUUGACGCUGAGGCGCGAAAGCCAGGGGAGCAAACGGG